CAUGAAGUACGUGGUAAUUAUGUUUCAGAAUUUAAUCCACGACGCCAAGUGCCGAGGCUCUACUUUCAUUAACGGUGGGCGCUUUUAUUUAUACAAUUUAUAUCCUCGACAAGAAGUCAUUUUCAUUUCCCAGAGGACGUGGUUCAACUAAAGCUGAAGGUGGGAAUUUUUCAGAAGGUAACCUGGCGUCGGCUCUCGGAUUCUUGGAGAAAAUGCGGAGGAAGAAGAAUAAAUAAAGCAGGGAAAGCAUCUGAACUAAUGUGCAGUGAAAAUGUGUGAAAAUAGCUCCAAGCGAAAAGAAUGGUUCUUUCUUAAAAUGUCGUUAUGAGCUUAAUAAUUUGCCCCAUAGAAAACUAUCACGUUGCCAGAGUUUGUCUUUCUGUGCACGAUGACCAGAAUGAGGGCGUUGUUAUAUAAUAGUUUGUAAUGGCGCACGUGCAAUGGAGAAUGUUCUCAUGCAAUCGCAUCCUCCAUGUAGAAUUCAUGCACUUGAGCUUCAGCAAUUAUGUAAUAAACACACUUAGAUUAA